rnacentral:lncRNA from 1 species
UCUUGAAAAAUACUUUCAUAAAAGUAUACAUAUAUCAUUUUUUAAAUAUUUAUAAAAAAAUAAAAGGUUAAAGUUGUGUUUUGGAAACCGUAUCACUGUCCUAAAUGACUUCUAAAUCUUAUAUAGAGUGAGUAUAUGCAUAAGUGCUUAGCAACUGUUCUAAUACUUUUAUAUAUGUAGUUCGUAUUCAUAACUAAAGAUCACAAUACUAUGAUAGAAAUAGGUGAGUUGAAGUCUUAUUGUGCUAUAAACUAAAAUAUUUUUUGCUUGUCUUAUGAGCCAUAUUAUUUGAGCGAACAAACAAUAAUUUUCUUUUAUAACAAUUAACAAAUCAAGCUCUUUAGUAAAACGAACACAGCCUAAAAAUUCCACUGUAUUGUGGGGGGCCACAGCCACUGCUGGGGUCUCUAGUCGACUGCGAAGGUUUCCUGUAGCAUCCGAUGGCAAUGGCAUUUUUGGGUGGAAAAUGAAUGGCUGAUCUCUAAAUUAUCGGCUAUAUCUAAGGGCGUUCUCAAUGGCAACUUUAAAAUAGGUAGCUAGAUUGGAUUUAUAAAUAAUUAAAAAACAGCACAGUAGUGGAGAGUUCUUUGAGUUUAGACUACCUCUAUUUGAUUCCUUUCUCUCAUAGCCAAUAAAAUUCUUCCUAGACUACCUAUUUGGACGCUCUAAUGAAAUACGAUACUGCUAGCGCCCGGACGUUCGGCGCCAGCAGCGCGUCCGGACGCCAAGCUCUCCACCCGCACCUAUAGAGAAAAAAAAAAUAAAACCGUCCGCCCCCAACCAACUCGGCCCGCGCGGAGGACUUUUCUUCGUCCGCUCUUCGCGCAAGGAGCCCGUCCCCAUCUCCACGAGCACGGGAUCUGCUCUGUCUCUCACCUCACUGCCCUCUAGCACAUGCGCCCACUGUCGUUCCCACAGAAAGUGACUCCCACCCCGCGCCCACACAGAGAAGAACAGCGACCAUCACGUGUAUGGAUCUGUCCGCCUCCAACUUUGCCAACCUAACACCUCUGAUCCAAGCACCAGGUCGCCACCAUAGUCUAUCCUCUAGCUACAAUAUGAAAAAGGCUAUUGCAAACAUCGAAUGACAUCUAAAAAUGCAACAUAAAGAAAAAAUUGCUAAAACAAAUGAAAAUAGCUAUUAAAACAUAAAAAAGAAUAUCUAAUGCAACAAACAAAAAUAUGAAAAUGCAACAUCAAAAAAAGUCUACUGCAACAUUCAAAACACAUCUACUGCAACAUCAGGGGAGAAUCAGCUGUAACAUUGAGAAAAAGUUAUUACAACAUCUCAAACACUACUAAUGCAACCAUAACGCACGUUGCAACAAAAAAAUCUACUGCAACAUCGGAAGAGAAUAUGCUGCAAUAAUAAGAAAAAGCUAUUACAACAUCUCAAACACUACUAAUGCAACAUCAAAAAAGCGCUUGUUACAACAAAAAAAUCUACUGCAAUAUCAAGGGAGAAUCUACCGCAACAACAAAAAAAGCAAAAUGAAACAUCUCAAGAACUGCUCUGCAACAUCAGAGAAACGUUUGUUGCAACAACCAAAAAAAGAUACCGUUGCAACAUUCCACAUCAUCUGUUGCAACAUUAAAAAUGAAUCAUUGCAGAACAACGACGAGAUCUGACUCACCGAAACACUAGCUACCACCAAACCCUUAGAUCCAGAAGGGAAAAAAGAGGAGGAGGUGCAGAAGGAGGAAGCAGAUCUAGAUACAGAUACAGUGGAAGAAAGAAGAGGGAGAGAGACCUCAGAUCUAGAUCCCUCCCUACCUACCUCGUCGGAGCCACGGCGUCGUCCUCGUCUCUAGAUGCAUAGAGGUCACAGCGCACGAGGAUGAGAGAGCAGGGAGGAAGGGAAGGCGCGUGGGCUCACCGGAAGUCGCCCGCCAUGGCCCCCACUGUGACGGCCAUGGAUGUUGUGGGGACACUACAAGAAAUGUGCCAACUUUUGACAUUUGAUAUAUGUCACAAUACCUAUAAAAUAUGUCAUAGGUCCUCAUUUAUGACACC